AUUUGUCGGUAACCACCACCUGAAAGUCUUGCUGCCACACCAUUCAAAGAGUGUUUUUCUUUUCUUCACCGCGAUGAUGAUGGUGGUGAUGAUGAUCAUCAGCUGGUAAGACAAUUCAGUGGCAUUGAGACUAGUCGAAGAGAGCAGUGCAUAAUCCACAUUUGGAGAAAGAUCGAAAGCUGAAAUCGCGAUUGGGGCGUUAGUUAAUGAUAUCUAAUGGUUCAUUCCAGCUAUCCAUCCAGCUUUGACUCCAUUCACGUUUUCUUGCCACAGAGAUGCAUGUUGUGAUGCUCUCGUUGUUGUUACCUUGCUGUCUUGUACUUGGCCUAAGGGGCCUUAGGUCUCCAAGAGGAGAUCAUGCCUGCUACCUUCGGAAGCAUCUUUCGCAAUAGAUAUAACUAUAUGAUGGAGCAGUUCCGCUUGGUGCAACAACUUUGGCGCUCCGUUUGUGUAUUGAGGAUGGAUGUAAGCUACUAUAAUAAGAUACUAGCGGAAUUGUGAAGUUAUGACUGUUUUUAAACAACCUUUUUGUAUGUUGAAUUGUUAGUUGGUUGGUGAUGGCAGCAGAUAUUUGUUGUUAAUUUUAGUGUGUUUUAUAAAGCGUGGGUUGA